rnacentral:rRNA from 1 species
ACGAACGCUGGCGGCGUGCCUAAUACAUGCAAGUCGAGCGGACCGAAGGGAGCUUGCUCCUUUAGGUUAGCGGCGGACGGGUGAGUAACACGUGGGCAACCUGCCCUGCAGACUGGGAUAACUUCGGGAAACCGGAGCUAAUACCGGAUAACACCGAAAACCGCAUGGUUUUCGGUUGAAAGGCGGCUUUUAGCUGUCACUGCAGGAUGGGCCCGCGGCGCAUUAGCUAGUUGGUGAGGUAACGGCUCACCAAGGCGACGAUGCGUAGCCGACCUGAGAGGGUGACCGGCCACACUGGGACUGAGACACGGCCCAG